UACGAGAGGAGCGAGCAUUAUUCGAAAUGAUUAGGCGUAAAGGGUUUGUAGGUUGUUUUUUUAAAGUUGAAAAAAAAAAAAUUAAAAGCUUAACUUUUAUUUAUUUUUUCAAAACUGAAAAACUGGAGUAUAAAUAGAGGAUAAUAGAAUUUUUAUUGUAAGGAUAAAAUCUUUUAAUAAUAAAAGGAAUUUUCAAGGCGAAGGCAAUUAUCUGGGUAUAUACUGACAUUGAGAAAGCGAAAGCUUGGGGAGCGAACGGG
rnacentral:rRNA from 1 species